UACGUAUGGGGCAAGCGUUAUCCGGAUUUAUUGGGCGUAAAGCGCGCGUAGGCGGCUUGUUAAGUCAGAUGUGAAAUCCGGGGGCUCAACCCGCGGCUUGCAUCUGAAACUGGCAGGCUUGAGUCUGGUAGAGGAAAGUGGAAUUCCUGGUGUAGCGGUGAAAUGCGCAGAUAUCAGGAGGAACACCAGUGGCGAAGGCGGCUUUCUGGGCCACGACUGACGCUGAGGCGCGAAAGCUAGGGGAGCGAACAGGAUUAGAUACCCUGGUAGUCCUAGCCGUAAACGAUGGGCACUAGGUGUGGGGGGUCAUCGACUCCCUCCGUGCCGAAGCUAACGCAUUAAGUGCCCCGCCUGGGGAGUACGGCCGCAAGGCUAAA
rnacentral:rRNA from 1 species